UUAGUACUCCCUCCGUCCGGAAAUACUUGUCAUCAAAAUGGAUAAAAGGGGAUGUAUUUAGACAUAUUUUAGUUCAAGAUACGUCUCUUUUUGUCCAUUUUGAUGACAAGUACUUCCGGACGGAGGGAGUAUAAA
rnacentral:pre_miRNA from 1 species